rnacentral:lncRNA from 1 species
AUGGAUCCACCAGUUACCACUUUAACGCUUUUUCAAAUUGAGCAAGCAAUUCUUAAUGUAGAGAACGCAAAGCUCCAGCAGGAGCAAACCCUGGCUGCCUUCUGGGAGCACAUGCCUCCUGUCGAGGAGGAGGUCCUGGUAAAGCGGAUACAAGAGCUCCGGGACCACAUUCGCGCUCUGGAAGAACAAAGGAGGGUUCUCAUCCGAGAGCGCGAAUUGCUGCUUAUCAGGGCGGCCUCCAUCAUCCGCAGGAGACCUGGGGGAAACUACUAA